rnacentral:lncRNA from 1 species
GAGAAAGGAUCGGGUCUUUCAGCUAUCAAUCUAGAAAGCAGAGUCCAAGGUACAUGUGCUAAGCAUAUAACAACAUAUCAUAUGCCAGUCUCUUUUGAGAGCAUUAUAAUGGGUUGCCCAGCUAACUAAGGGACAUACCAAAGAUUGGGACCUGAAGUGGUAGAACCCGGUUCACCAGGCGUACUACUGAACAUUGAUUCUCUCUCCUGAACUAUAAAUAAUUCUUUCUAGCUAGCAACUAAAAAAAACUACAAGCAACUACAUCAACAACCCUGGGGGAAAUUGAGUAGUCCGCCCUACCUACUAAUUUACUCAACUAAGCUUGCAUCUUACUAUAGGGUUUUUUAGAACCUAAGACUCUUAGAUAGAGAGUUUCAAACCAAAUGUGCCCCCCGACAAUCCAAGUGGGGAACUAAACCAGCAGCGCUACAAACACUUUCAACAGAAUGAGACCUACCUUAUACACUUCUUAAGCCCCCCAUCUUUCUAAGAAGAAGCAACAAGACUGAUUUUCAAAUAUAAGCUCCCCUGAAAAACAAAGCCAUGCGCCGUCCGGAAACAAGUAGUUGUUCUAUUGUCCAAUACGGAUUAAAAGACUUACAACAACUGUCAAAUAAGGGCAGUUCUAAUCAAUGACGUUCAUCGUAAUAGAAAGUAUUCACAUCAGUCAGCUGGUUCAUGGUACGAGAUUUAACAAUAAGGUUUUCAGCUGACGACAGAAGCAAGAUUCAGAACAAGCAACAAACACAUCUUUCCGCU